AAUUGCAAGUCGUUCAUCAGUUGCAUUUUCACAAAUCAGCAUGUUGAUUCAAACAGUUGUUUCAACAUUGAAUUUAAUAAUGCUAUGAUUAACACAAACUGUACGUUUGAUCAUGGAAUUCUAAUCCACGAUUUAUCUGUAUCCGUUCACGACAAGACGUUUAUAUAUUAUUAACAUAUCAUUGCCUAAUAGCCAAUCACCAGGGAGAACAACAAGGUAUUGAGCUUGCACACAUGGGCAAACUAGUGCAGUAGCCAUCAUUCGCAUAUUAUGAUUCGGUCUCCAGGUCAGUGGCCUCAGCGAUCAUUUACCGCCAUACAUGUAUUAGUCAUCACAGGUGUCUGUUUAAAGUAAUGCAAUGGGAAACGUAAUUUGUUGACUGUGUUGCAACCAUUUGCAGUAUCUGCCCUCAUAAAUGUACCAUUAGUAAUACGAAGGGCGUGGUGGAAUGGUUAAUUCACAAACAACGUGGUACUGGCGGGGCGGCUUUAAACGAGAGCAAUUCGAACGUUUGCUAUAUAAAGAGACAGUACGCCUUUCCCGCCACAUGGCCGAGCGUCGACGACCUUGAGCCAACUGUCUGGCUGUUCGACUCCAGCCACCCGAGACAUGGACUAUUCUCCAUGCACACAUCCGACAGGUGGUACCGGUGCAUCAAGGCUCAGACCAACAGACUCCGAAACCACUUCUAUCCCCUGGCCCUAAGACUGGUAAAUGGCUAACAACUACUGCUCUCCCUCAGGUCACUGAGUGUCUUCUCCAGCCAGGCAGUGAUGGUCUCUACAGGCCUGGGGUUGGAGGGACAGCCUAUAGAGGAGGCCUGGGACUGCAGCUCCUUCACUGUGGGCUGCAGCAGCAUGAAGGACAGUGGCUUACGAGACUUCUCCAGCU